GGCCGGCUAGCUCAAUGGUAGGGCGUUACUCUCCUAGUUUCUAGGCCUCUUGAGGCAAGUAAAGGUUCUGGGUUCGAGUCCCAGGUCGGUCG